rnacentral:rRNA from 1 species
CAAUCAAACCGGGAGAUAGCUGGUUCUCCCCGAAAGCUAUUUAGGUAGCGCCUCGUGAAUUCAUCUCCGGGGGUAGAGCACUGUUUCGGCUAGGGGGCCAUCCCGGCUUACCAACCCGAUGCAAACUGCGAAUACCGGAGAAUGUUAUCACGGGAGACACACGGCGGGUGCUAACGUCCGUCGUGAAGAGGGAAACAACCCAGACCGCCAGCUAAGGUCCCAAAGUCAUGGUUAAGUGGGAAACGAUGUGGGAAGGCCCAGACAGCCAGGAUGUUGGCUUAGAAGCAGCCAUCAUUUAAAGAAAGCGUAAUAGCUCACUGGUCGAGUCGGCCUGCGCGGAAGAUGUAACGGGGCUAAACCAUGCACCGAAGCUGCGGCAGCGAACGUAUCACCCAAGACAACUUUACGGAGUUGACGAUUGACGGAGCGAAGCGACGUCAAAGCGUUCAUUAAAGUCGAGUUGGCUUAGGGAUACGUUCGUUGGGUAGGGGAGCGUUCUGUAAGCCUGUGAAGGUGUGUCGUGAGGCAUGCUGGAGGUAUCAGAAGUGCGAAUGCUGACAUAAGUAACGAUAAAGCGGGUGAAAAGCCCGCUCGCCGGAAGACCAAGGGUUCCUGUCCAACGUUAAUCGGGGCAGGGUGAGUCGACCCCUAAGGCGAGGCCGAAAGGCGUAGUCGAUGGGAAACGGGUUAAUAUUCCCGUACUUGGUGUUACUGCGAAGGGGGGACGGAGAAGGCUAUGUUGGCCGGGCGACGGUUGUCCCGGUUUAAGCGUGUAGGUGUGUGUUCCAGGUAAAUCCGGUUCACUUUAACACUGAGGCGUGACGACGAGGCACUACGGUGCUGAAGCAACAAAUGCCCUGCUUCCAGGAAAAGCCUCUAAGCAUCAGGUAAC